UCAGCCUUAUCCCUAACCCCCCUCCUCUCUGUUGAUUUCGUGGAGCACCAGCCGAGCUCCUCCCUGCGGCUCGCCUCCCUCACGGCGCCGCCUGCUCCCCAUUACCGACCUCCACUCCAGCACCUGAGCAAGCGCUCCUAAGGUCAUCUUCCCCAUCCCCUCCCCAUCUUCCUCUAGUGCUGGCUGCCAUGUCGUCUUCCCCAUCCCUCCCAUGGUACCCUCACCUCUGCUCCUCCCAGCGCCCUGGCUCUGCUCGACCUUCAUAGUGAGCUCACCCUCAGCCAUGGAGGGUGCCGCCUCCACCUCCCCCUUGGUGCUCGCCGAGCUCGCCCUCAGCCUUGCCGCGCCCCUGCUUCCUGUUCCCAGUGCCGACGCCCCUGCCUUUUUCCCCAUCUCCUUCCCUUGACGUGCUCGCCCAGGUCGCGCGCGUCCAGCUCGCCGGCCGAACUCCCUCAGCUUCGUCUUCAACCACCGCCGACCCCAUGGUGAGCUCGCACAAACUCCAUCUCCCUGUGCGCCCUUUGUUCUGCUCCAACCGUUCUCCACGCCGUGUUCCCCCCCCAUGGCUCCCCUUGCCUCUCCGGUCAGCACUAGCCCGAACGGUAUAGCAGCAUACCGGUGCCAAACCCGUGUUCGCGACGCUCGCCAAGUGCUCGAUGAAAUACCGCAGUGAGCUCCACCUCGAGUUGUGCAGCCCCAACCCGCGACGUUGCAACACCCUUGCCCUCCGUCGAUGUUGCGCUUCGUGCAUUGCUCCUCGACGAAGAGCCAGAACCGUGGUAGACAUGCAUGCGCGAUCCAAACUGAUUUCACCAGAUACGCUAGGUGAUUAUGCGAUAUGAAGGGCAUGGGCCUGACUGGACCACAAGAUGAUAUCGAUGGACCACACCCUAUAGGAAUGAUCAGAUCAAGUACCAGGAUGGAAGAUGCUCACCAAGUGGUCGUCAUUUAACAACACUAACGUAGUGUUUAUCCCAG